GAUGAACGCUGGCGGCGUGCCUAAUACAUGCAAGUCGAGCGAACGGACGAGAAGCUUGCUUCUCUGAUGUUAGCGGCGGAAGGGUGAGUAACACGUGGAUAACCUACCUAUAAGACUGGGAUAACUUCGGGAAACCGGAGCUAAUACCGGAUGAUAUUUUGAACCGCAUGGUUCAAAAGUGAAAGACGGUCUUGCUGUCACUUAUAGAUGGAUCCGCGCUGCAUUAGCUAGUUGGUAAGGUAACGGCUUACCAAGGCAACGAUGCAUAGCCGACCUGAGAGGGUGAUCGGCCACACUGGAACUGAGACACGGUCCAGACUCCUACGGGAGGCAGCAGUAGGGAAUCUUCCGCAAUGGGCGAAAGCCUGACGGAGCAACGCCGCGUGAGUGAUGAAGGUCUUCGGAUCGUAAAACUCUGUUAUUAGGGAAGAACAUAUGUGUAAGUAACUGUGCACAUCUUGACGGUACCUAAUCAGAAAGCCACGGCUAACUACGUG
rnacentral:rRNA from 1 species